GUCACAAAUAAGUAUGGUUUUUGUUUUGAGUCAAAACACACCAAAUAAAAACCCACAUAUUCGCGUGUCGACAGCCUUAGAGAGCUCAGCACCGACCCCCAUCCGCCCCAGCUGUCUGACCAGCUUCACACGCCUAAAAUGUCUUCUGCGCACCUUGGAGCCAAACAGCAGGACAGUGGCAACGUUCUGGAGGUCAACGUUCUGCGAGUUUUACAACUCUCGCUCUAGCAGAGACUCUGUCUCCCUGCUUCCCUUCCCGUCUCUGGGUUCAAUACUGUGGUGGUGACCAGAUACGUGAGGGCCAUGACCAGUCUGCAGCAGGUGCCACCGGACAUGCCCAGCUCCACCCGUGCCCAGACCCCUCAUCCUCUGUCCUGGGACUUCCCUGUUGAUGCCGAGGUGAAGGAAGCUGUGGAGCCCCAGCUGGUGCCAACUUCAAGUGCGGGGCCAAUACCCAGGGCAGAGCUGCAUCCAGGGGCGGGGAUGAUGCCUUUGGACUAGUGACCUCCUGGGUCCAGGGCCAGAGUUCAAGUACCUGUCCGAGGAGCCCAAGGCUCCUCAGCCAGCUGCCCUGCUUGCGUCUCUGCUGAGCCUCAGGCCAGCCCCAGGGAGUCACACUCCUCAGUAAAGCAAAAAUGAACAGAGGGUUCUGGACUUGCAGUAGUUUG
rnacentral:lncRNA from 1 species